UUAGUGAAGUUAACCACAUUUUGAAGUACAAACCAAGGGAAUAGGGAACAGCGACUAAGAGAUAGAAAGUGACUCUGAAGUAGUCCACCUUCCUUAGCCCCCAAACCCCAAAUUAGGGAUUUUGAUUCAGAUAGGGAGAGCCUCUCCAUCAAGUCAAUCCUCUUGUACAGCCUAAACCCAUCGAAAAGGGGCCCCCGCACCAGACACACACACUGAAAGAUACUUCCUCUUUUACCCUGUGAUAUUAUCACAGUCCGAAGAUGAACACCAACAGGAGUAGCGAUCUCAACUGUGUUAAAGGGAAUCCCUUUGGACACCAGAGUAGUCACAAAACGCACACCUCCUCUUUUACCCUGUGAAAUCCUCACAGUCCGAAGACAAGCGCACCCACACCUAUAGGAGUAGCGAUCUCUACUGUGUUACGGGAGCCCCAUAGACACCAGAGUGGACACAAAACGCAACAUGGAGCCCAACGUCUAGGCAGUGCUU